GACGAACGCUGGCGGCGUGCUUAACACAUGCAAGUCGAACGGUAAGACCCUUCGGGGUACACGAGUGGCGAACGGGUGAGUAACACGUGGGUGAUCUGCCCUGCACUUCGGGAUAAGCCUGGGAAACUGGGUCUAAUACCGGAUAGGACUCCUGGCUGCAUGGUUGGGGGUGGAAAGCUGUUGCGGUGCGGGAUGGGCCCGCGGCCUAUCAGCUUGUUGGUGGGGUAAUGGCCUAGCAAGGCGACGACGGGUAGCCGGCCUGAGAGGGUGACCGGUCACACUGGGACUGCGAUACGGCGCAGACUCCUACGGGAGGCAGCAGUGGGGAAUAUUGCACGAUGGGCGCAAGCCUGAUGCAGCGACGCCGCGUGAGGGAUGACGGCCUUCGGGUUGUAACCUCUUUCAGCUAUGACGAAGCGCAAGUGACGGUAGUAGCAGAAGAAGGACCGGCCAACUACGUGCCAGCCGCCGCGGUAA
rnacentral:rRNA from 1 species